CCUACGGGAGGCAGCAGUAGGGAAUCUUCCGCAAUGGACGAUAGUCUGACGGAGCAACGCCGCGUGAGUGAUGAAGGUUUUCGGAUCGUAAAGCUCUGUUGUUAGGGAAGAACAAGUACCGUUCGAAUAGGGCGGUACCUUGACGGAUCCUAACCCAGAAACCCACGCU
rnacentral:rRNA from 1 species